rnacentral:rRNA from 1 species
GAUGAACGCUGGCGGCGUGCUUAACACAUGCAAGUCGAACGGAAAGGCUCCUGCUUGCAGGGGUACUCGAGUGGCGAACGGGUGAGUAACACGUGGGUGAUCUGCCCUGCACUUCGGGAUAAGCCUGGGAAACUGGGUCUAAUACCGGAUAGGACGAUGGUUUGGAUGCCAUUGUGGAAAGUUUUUCGGUGUGGGAUGAGCUCGCGGCCUAUCAGCUUGUUGGUGGGGUAAUGGCCUACCAAGGCGUCGACGGGUAGCCGACCUGAGAGGGUGUACGGCCACAUUGGGACUGAGAUACGGCCCAGACUCCUACGGGAGGCAGCAGUGGGGAAUAUUGCACAAUGGGCGCAAGCCUGAUGCAGCGACGCCGCGUGGGGGAUGACGGCCUUCGGGUUGUAAACUCCUUUCGCUAGGGACGAAGCGCAAGUGACGGUACCUGGAGAAGAAGCACCGGCUAACUACGUG